CCUACGGGUGGCAGCAGUGAGGAAUAUUGGUCAAUGGCCGGAAGGCUGAACCAGCCAUGCCGCGUGAAGGUCAGUGCCCUAUGGGCGUUAAACUUCUUUUGUGCGGGAGCAAUAAUGGUCACGUGUGGCCAGACGAGAGUACCGUACGAAUAAGCAUCGGCUAACUCCGUGCCAGCAGCCGCGGUACUACGGGGGAUGCAAGCGUUGUCCGGAUUUACUGGGGGUAAAGGGCGUGUAGCCGGGAAGGCAAGUCAGAUGUGAAAUCCGGAGGCUCAACCUCCGAAUUGCAUUUGAAACUGUUUUUCUUGAGUACUGGAGAGGCAGACGGAAUUCCUUGUGUAGCGGUGAAAUGCGUAGAUAUAAGGAGGAACACCAGUGGCGAAGGCGGUCUGCUGGACAGCAACUGACGGUGAGGCGCGAAAGCGUGGGGAGCAAACAGGAUUAGAUACCCCAGUAGUC
rnacentral:rRNA from 1 species